UCCCAUGUGGCUCAGUUGGUAGAGCAUGGUGUUUGCAAUGCCAGGGUUGUGGGUUCGAUUCCCACAGGGGAC
rfam:Salmo salar isolate Sally breed double haploid chromosome ssa05, whole genome shotgun sequence.